rnacentral:misc_RNA from 1 species
GAAAUGCGAUAAGUAAUGUGAAUUGCAGAAUUCAGUGAAUCAUCGAAUCUUUGAACGCACCUUGCGCUCCUUGGUAUUCCUUGGAGCAUGCCUGUUUGAGUAUCAUGAAAUCUUCAAAGUAAAUCUUUUGUUAACUCAAUUGGUUUCUACUUUGGUAUUGGAGGUCUUUGCAGCUUCACACCUGCUCCUCUUUGUUCAUUAGCUGGAUCUCAGUGUUAUGCUUGGUUCCACUCGGCGUGAUAAGUUAUCUAUCGCUGAGGACACUGUAAAAGGUGGCCAAGGUAAAUGCAGAUGAACCGCUUCUAAUAGUCCAUUGACUUGGACAAUACUUUUGUGAUCUGAUCUCAAAUCUGGUAGGACUACCCGCUGAACUUAAGC